GUGCACGCUUCAGCAGCACAUAGACUGAAAUUGGAACAAUACAGAGAAGAUUGGCAUGGCUCUGUGCAAGGAUAACACUAAAAUUCAUGAAGUGUUCACUAGAUUU
ensembl:snRNA U6 U6 spliceosomal RNA